AAAUCUGGCCCCUAGGGUCCGAGUUGUAAUUUGUAGAGGAUGCUUUUGGUGAGGUGCCGCCCGAGUUCCCUGGAACGGGACGCCACAGAGGGUGAGAGCCCCGUCUGGCUGGCCACCGAGCCUCUGUAAAGCUCCUUCGACGAGUCGAGUAGUUUGGGAAUGCUGCUCAAAAUGGGAGGUAUAUGUCUUCUAAAGCUAAAUAUUGGCCAGAGACCGAUAGCGCACAAGUAGAGUGAUCGAAAGAUGAAAAGCACCUUGAAAAGAGGGUUAAAUAGUACGUGAAAUUGUUGAAAGGGAAGCGCUUGUGACCAGACUUGGGCGCGGCGGAUCAUCCGGGGUUCUCCCCGGUGCACUUCGCCGCGUUCAGGCCAGCAUCAGUUCGGUCGCGGGGGAAAAAGGCUUCGGGAACGUGGCUGCUCCGGCAGUGUUAUAGCCCGUUGCAUAAU
rnacentral:rRNA from 1 species